GACGAACGCUGGCGGCGUGCUUAACACAUGCAAGUCGAACGGAAAGGCCCUGCUUUUGUGGGGUGCUCGAGUGGCGAACGGGUGAGUAACACGUGAGUAACCUGCCCUUGACUUUGGGAUAACUUCAGGAAACUGGGGCUAAUACCGGAUAGGAGCUCCUGCUGCAUGGUGGGGGUUGGAAAGUUUCGGCGGUUGGGGAUGGACUCGCGGCUUAUCAGCUUGUUGGUGGGGUAGUGGCUUACCAAGGCUUUGACGGGUAGCCGGCCUGAGAGGGUGACCGGCCACAUUAGGACGGAGAUGCGGCCCAGACUCCUACGGGAGGCAGCAGUGGGGAAUAUUGCACAAUGGGCGGAAGCCUGAUGCAGCAACGCCGCGUGGGGGAUAACGGCCUUCGGGUUGUAAACCGCUUUCGCCUGUGACGAAGCGUGAGUGACGGUAAUGGGUAAAGAAGCACCGGCUAACUACGUG
rnacentral:rRNA from 1 species